UCGAACGCGAAAGUGGAGCAAUCCAUGAGUAGAGUGGCAAACGGGUGAGUAACGCGUGGGUGACCUGCCUUCGAGCGGGGGAUAACGUUCCGAAAGGGACGCUAAUACCGCAUGACAUCCUGCCUUUGAAGAGGCGGAGAUCAAAGCUGGGGAUCGCAAGACCUAGCACUCGAUGAGGGGCCCGCGUCUGAUUAGCUAGUUGGUGGGGUAACGGCUCACCAAGGCAACGAUCAGUAUCCGGCCUGAGAGGGCGGACGGACACACUGGGACUGAGACACGGCCCAGACUCCUACGGGAGGCAGCAGUGGGGAAUUGUUCGCAAUGGGCGCAAGCCUGACGACGCAACGCCGCGUGGAGGAUGAAGAUCUUCGGGUCGUAAACUCCUUUCGAUCGAGACGAACGGCCUCCGGGUGAACAAUCCGGAGGAGUGACGGUACCGAGAGAAGAAGCCCCGGCUAACUCCGUGCCAGCAGCCGCGGUAAUACGGGGGGGGCAAGCGUUGUUCGGAAUUACUGGGCGUAAAGGGCUCGUAGGCGGCCAACUAAGUCAGACGUGAAAUCCCUCGGCUUAACCGGGGAACUGCGUCUGAUACUGGAUGGCUUGAGUUUGGGAGAGGGAUGCGGAAUUCCAGGUGUAGCGGUGAAAUGCGUAGAUAUCUGGAGGAACACCGGUGGCGAAGGCGGCAUCCUGGACCAACACUGACGCUGAGUGAGCGAAAGCCAGGGGAGCAAACGGGAUUAGAUACCCCGGUAGUCCUGGCCCUAAACG
rnacentral:rRNA from 1 species